ACGGGAGGCAGCAGCUAAGAAUAUUCCGCAAUGGACGAAAGUCUGACGGAGCGACGCUGCGUGGAUGAUGAAGGCCGGAAGGUUGUAAAAUCCUUUUAUAACUGAGGAAUAAGUAAGGUGAGAGAAACGCCUUAUGGUGACUGUAGGUUAUGAAUAAGCAACGGCUAAUUACGUGCCAGCAGCCGCGGUAACACGUAAGUUGCGAGCGUUGUUCGGAAUUAUUGGGCGUAAAGGGCAUGUAGGCGGUUUUGCAAGCUUGGUGUGAAAUCCCGGGGCUUAACUCCGGAAUUGCGUUGAGAACUGCAGAACUAGAGUCACUGAGGUGCAAUCAGAAUUCCAGGUGUAGGGGUGAAAUCUGUAGAUAUCUGGAAGAAUACCAAUGGCGAAGGCAGGUUACCAGCAGAUGACUGACGCUGAGGUGCGAAGGUGCGGGGAGCAAACAGGAUUAGAUACCCUGGUA
rnacentral:rRNA from 1 species